GACCAAACCGAGCGCGUCAAUCAGUGUGUGGAGAUGUAUCUCCAGUGUGCCGUGCACGAGACGCCCAAACAAUGGCACAAAUGGCUUCCGACGGCAGAAUUCUGGUAUAACUCGACUCACCACUCAUCUCUGAACUGCUCUCCGUUCAAGGCCUUAUAUGGGAGAGAACCGAAUCUUGGUGGACUACCACAACUGAGCUCAGAGCUGCCAGCAGACGCCCAGGGCAAGGAUCUAGACUGGGCCGCGCACACUGAGCUACUGAGAGCUCAACUAGCUCGUGCCCAGGAUCGCUUCAAGAGGCAAGCCAAUCGUCACCGUGCCGAGCGCGCAUUCGAUGUGGGAGAACAAGUUCUGCUCAAGCUGCAACCUUAUGCACAAACU
rnacentral:rRNA from 1 species